ACUCAAAUGAAUUGACGGGGGCCCGCACAAGCGGUGGAGCAUGUGGCUUAAUUCGAUGCAACGCGAAGAACCUUACCAGGGCUUGACAUGCCUCUGCAAGCCGGUGAAAGCCGGUCGCCUUCGAGGGUGAGGCACAGGUGGUGCAUGGCUGUCGUCAGCUCGUGUUGUGAAAUGUUGGGUUAAGUCCCGCAACGAGCGCAACCCUCAUGUCUUGUUACCAGCGAGUAAAGUCGGGGACUCGAGACAAACUGCCUCUGUAAGGAGGAGGAAGGUGGGGAUGACGUCAAGUCAUCAUGCCCCUUACGCCCUGGGCUGCACACAUGCUACAAUGGCCGGUACAAAGGGAUGCGAGCCCGCGAGGGUCAGCCAAUCCCAAAAAGCCGGUCCCAGUUCGGAUUGGAGUCUGCAACUCGACUCCAUGAAGUCGGAAUCGCUAGUAACCGCCGGUCAGCAACACGGCGGUGAAUACGUUCCCGGGCCUUGCACACACCGCCCGU
rnacentral:rRNA from 1 species